rnacentral:rRNA from 1 species
GGUAAUACGGAGGGUCCAAGCGUUAUCCGGAUUUAUUGGGUUUAAAGGGUACGUAGGCGGAGUUUUAAGUCAGUAGUGAAAGCCCAUCGCUUAACGAUGGAACUGCUAUUGAUACUGAUACUCUUGAAUAUAGUUGAAGUGGGCGGAAUACGGCAUGUAGCGGUGAAAUGCAUAGAUAUGCCGUGGAACACCAAUCGCGAAGGCAGCUCACUAAGCUAUUAUUGACGCUAAUGUACGAAAGCGUGGGUAGCGAACAGGAUUAGAUACCCUGGUAGUCCACGCCGUAAACGAUGAUUACUCGGUGCUGGCGAUAUACAGUCAGUGCCUAAGCGAAAGUGAUAAGUAAUCCACCUGGGGAGUACGAUCGCAAGGUUGAAACUCAAAGGAAUUGACGGGGGCCCGCACAAGCGGUGGAGCGUGUGGUUUAAUUCGAUGAUACGCGAGGAACCUUACCUGGGCUUAAAUGCAUAAUGACAGGCUGAGAAAUCAGUUUUUCUUCGGACAGAAUGCAAGGUGCUGCAUGGCCGUCGUCAGCUCGUGCUGUGGAGGGUGUCGGGUUAAGUCCCAUAACGAGCGCAACCCCUAUUUCUAGUUGCCAGCACAUAAAUGGUGGGGACUCUAGAGAAACUGCCCGCGC